rnacentral:rRNA from 1 species
CCUACGGGUGGCUGCAGUAGGGAAUCUUCCACAAUGGGCGAAAGCCUGAUGGAGCAACGCCGCGUGGGUGAAGAAGGUCUUCGGAUCGUAAAACCCUGUUGUUAGAGAAGAAAGUUCGUGUGAGUAACUGUUCACGUUUCGACGGUAUCUACCCAGAAAGCCCCGGCUAACUACGUGCCAGCAGCCGCGGUAAUACGUAGGUGGCAAGCGUUAUCCGGAUUUAUUGGGCGUAAAGGGAACGUAGGCGGUCUUUCAAGUCUGAUGUGAAAGCCUUGGGCUUAACGGGAGUAGUGCAUUGGAAACUGGGAGACUGGAGUGCGUGAGAGGAGAGUGGAACUCCAGGUGUAGCAGUGAAAUGCGUAGAUAUAUGGAAGAACACCAGUGGCGAAGGCGACUCUCUGGGUUGUAACUGACGCUGAGGUUCGAAAGCGUGGGUAGCAAACAGGAUUAGAUACCCCUGUAGUC